rnacentral:rRNA from 1 species
UGAAAUCUCGAAGCUCAACUUCGAAACUGCGUCUGAAACUGCUAGUCUAGAGUGUCGGAGGGGGAAGGGGAAUUUCACGUGUAGGGGUAAAAUCCGUAGAGAUGUGAAGGAACACCGGGGGCGAAGGCGCCUUCCUGGACGACUACUGACGCUGAGGCGCGAAAGCGUGGGGAGCAAACAGGAUUAGAUACCCUGGUAGUCCACGCCGUAAACGAUGAACACUAGUUAUUGAAAAUAUUGACUCCCUCAGUAACACAGCUAACACAUUAAG